rnacentral:rRNA from 1 species
UACGAAGGGGGCUAGCGUUGUUCGGAAUUACUGGGCGUAAAGGGCGCGUAGGCGGUCCUGAUCGUCGGAUGUGAAAGGCCUGGGCUCAACCUGGGAACUGCAUCCGAUACGGCGGGACUGGAGUGUGGGAGAGGUUGGUGGAAUUCCCAGUGUAGAGGUGAAAUUCGUAGAUAUUGGGAAGAACACUGGUGGCGAAGGCGGCCAACUGGACCACAACUGACGCUGAGGCGCGAAAGCGUGGGGAGCAAACAGG